UGCGUAGGCGGGUCUUUAAGUCAGGGUGAAAUCCUGGAGCUCAACUCCAGAACUGCCUUUGAUACUGAAGAUCUUGAGUUCGGGAGAGGUGAGUGGAACUGCGAGUGUAGAGGUGAAAUUCGUAGAUAUUCGCAAGAACACCAGUGGCGAAGGCGGCUCACUGGCCCGAUACUGACGCUGAGGCACGAAAGCGUGGGGAGCAAACAGGAUUACGAUACCCUGGUAGUCCAACGCCGUAAACGAUGAAUGCCAGCCGUUAGUGGGUUUACUCACUAGUGGCGCAGCUAACGCUUUAAGCAUUCCGCCUGGGGAGUACGGUCGCAAAGAUUAAAA
rnacentral:rRNA from 1 species